AGUUGAAAAAAAUGGAGAAGACGAGCUUCGGCAAAAACAACAACAUUUGUUUUUCACGAAUGGGAAAAAAUAAUAAAACUAAAAAAAUAGAAAAUUCAACGAAAAUUGAAAAACAGGGAAGCAAACGUGGAAAACACCGCUUAAGAAAUGAUGAAUCAACGAUAACAGCAAUUAAAGCUGUUAAAAAUGGAGUUUUACAGCAAGCAGCAUGCAAAGCUUUUGCCAUUCCAAGAUGUUCAUUACAAGUUUGACUUUCUGGAGUAACGGAAAUGGGAGCCAAACCUGGACAUUCAACUAUUUUAAAUGAAGAAAAGAAAUUAAUUUCGCAUAUAAUCGUGCAGUUUUAGGAAUCGGAUUUGUUCGAUUUCAAUUUUUAAAAUAUGCUGAACAUUUUUUUUAAAACAUAAAAAAUCAUUCAAGAAUGUAACUCCUACAGAAAAAAGGAAGUGUUUAUUUAACGGCGAAAAGUAAAAAAAAGAAGUUUUAUAAAGAAAAAAUAAUCAAAAAACAUUUUGGAAAUAAAAGUU